AAGGCUUUGAAGUGAGGACGCUAGUUCUCAUGGAGCCGACGUUGAAAUACCACCCUGGUGCGUUUGAGGUUCUAACCCAGGUCCCUUAUCGGGAUCGGGGACAGUGCAUGGUAGGCAGUUUGACUGGGGCGGUCUCCUCCCAAAGCGUAACGGAGGAGUUCGAAGGUACGCUAGUUACGGUCGGACAUCGUGACGAUAGUGCAAUGGCAUAAGCGUGCUUAACUGCGAGACUGACAAGUCGAGCAGAUGCGAAAGCAGGACAUAGUGAUCCGGUGGUUCUGUAUGGAAGGGCCAUCGCUCAACGGAUAAAAGGUACUCUAGGGAUAAC
rnacentral:rRNA from 1 species